rnacentral:rRNA from 1 species
GAUGAACGCUAGCGGCAGGCUUAAUACAUGCAAGUCGUGGGGCAGCAGGUUUGUAGCAAUACAGAUGCUGGCGACCGGCAAACGGGUGCGGAACACGUACACAACCUUCCUUUAAGUGGGGAAUAGCCCAGCGAAAUUUGGAUUAAUACCCCGUAACAUUAUGAUGUGGCAUCACAUUAUAAUUAUAGCUACGGCGCUUAAUGAUGGGUGUGCGGCUGAUUAGGUAGUUGGCGGGGUAACGGCGCACCAAGCCUUCGAUCAGUAACUGGUGUGAUAGCACGACCAGUCACACGGCACUGAGACACGGGCCCGACUCCUACGGGAGGGAGCAGUAAGGAAUAUUGGGCAAUGGAGGAAACUCUGACCCAGCCAUGCCGCGUGGAGGAUGAAGGUCCUCUGGAUUGUAAACUUCUUUUAUAUGGGACGAAACAGGAUCUUUCUAGGUCAACUGACGGUGCCAUAUGAAUAAGCACCGGCUAACUCCGUGCCAGCCGCCGCCGUAACAC